CAGCCGCCGCGGUAAUACGUAGGUGGCGAGCGUUGUCCGGAAUCAUUGGGCGUAAAGGGAGCGCAGGCGGGCAUGUAAGUCUUUCUUAAAAGUGCGGGGCUCAACCCCGUGAUGGGAAAGAAACUACGUGUCUUGAGUACAGGAGAGGAAAGCGGAAUUCCCAGUGUAGCGGUGAAAUGCGUAGAUAUUGGGAGGAACACCAGUGGCGAAGGCGGCUUUCUGGACUGCAACCGACGCUGAGGCUCGAAAGCCAGGGGAGCGAACGGGAUUAGAUACCCCAGUAGUCCCUGUCUCUUAUACA
rnacentral:rRNA from 1 species